rnacentral:rRNA from 1 species
UACGAAGGGUGCUAGCGUUGUUCGGAAUUACUGGGCGUAAAGGGCGCGUAGGCGGUGCUGUAAGUCAGGCGUGAAAUCCCCGGGCUCAACCUGGGAAUUGCGUUUGAUACUGCGGCGCUGGAAUGCGGGAGAGGAUGGCGGAAUUCCCAGUGUAGAGGUGAAAUUCGUAGAUAUUGGGAAGAACACCGGUGGCGAAGGCGGCCAUCUGGCCCGUAAUUGACGCUGAGGCGCGAAAGCGUGGGGAGCAAACAGG